rnacentral:tRNA from 1 species
GCACUAGUAGUUCAGCGUCAGAACACCGGUCUUGUAAGCCGGGUGUCGGAGGUUAAAUUCCUCCCUCGUGCC